rnacentral:rRNA from 1 species
UACGUAGGGUGCAAGCGUUGUCCGGAAUUAUUGGGCGUAAAGAGCUCGUAGGCGGUCUGUUGCGUCGGCUGUGAAAACCCGGGGCUCAACUCCGGGCCUGCAGCCGAUACGGGCAGACUAGAGUUCGGUAGGGGAGACUGGAAUUCCUGGUGUAGCGGUGAAAUGCGCAGAUAUCAGGAGGAACACCGGUGGCGAAGGCGGUUCUCUGGGCAUAUAUUGACGCUGAGGAGCGAAAGUGUGGGGAGCGAACAGG